UCGAUGGCGGAGAGUAAAGAUGUCCAUAAACGGCAAAGAAUGUCUAAAGUUUGGGAUCCUUAUACUAAAAAAGGAAGAGAACAAGGUGCAAUGUGUCUACUGCAAAGUAGAACUGGCAUACCACAGCAGUACCACUUGAACGAUUCAGCAUCUGAACCUAAAACAUCCACUCCAUGCUGUUUCACCAUGCGUCGCUGAAACAAGCACUUCACAACGGAGUAUGGAUAGCUUUGUUCGCCCAGCUCAGUCAUGCACUGUUCAAGAGGCUGCAAUUUUCACAGAGAGCAUUUUGAACAUGCUCGUGACAUAUGAUAUGAGGCCACUGUCCAUGGUGGAGGACAAGGGAUUUAGAGACAUGAUCUCAACUUUCAAUCCUAAAUACAACCUGCCAUCAAGAACAUAUUUCACACAACAGAUGGAGAAGAAACACAGAGACACCACAGAGAAAUUGAAAGCUGUCCUAAAGCAAACAGAGUGUGUUGCCCUGACAACAGACAUUUGGACCAGUGUGGCAACAGAGGCCUACCUGGGGGUGACAUGCCACUUCUUGGGGGAAGAUUGGGAGAUGAAGUCCUUCUCCCUAACCACAAUGCCCCUAGAAGAGAGACACACUGCAGCCAACAUUGCAGACUGGCUAGAGGAGACAACUGCCAAAUUUCAGAUUCCACUUGAAAAGAUUAUUGGACUCAAAGCUUCUCCUCACUGGUGGCAGCGAUGGUUUUCAGCCUCGAUUGCUGCGUUGUGGGGCUGACGGAUGAUCCAUUGGCGAUGGCCGACAGCUAUCGUGAUAUCAUGAAAGACAUCGUGGAUGCCCCAGUUCACAAAUCACACACCACAAAUCAUAACACUUUGUCUCUUGUUCUGUCCACCUUUUCUGUCUCCAUGUGCUCCGGACGUUACAAGCAAGCAGUG